rnacentral:rRNA from 1 species
AGCUAUACAUGCAGUCGAGCGGACCGACGGGAGCUUGCUCCCUUAGGUCAGCGGCGGACGGGUGAGUAACACGUGGGUAACCUGCCUGUAAGACUGGGAUAACUCCGGGAAACCGGGGCUAAUACCGGAUGCUUGAUUGAACCGCAUGGUUCAAUCAUAAAAGGUGGCUUUUAGCUACCACUUACAGAUGGACCCGCGGCGCAUUAGCUAGUUGGUGAGGUAACGGCUCACCAAGGCGACGAUGCGUAGCCGACCUGAGAGGGUGAUCGGCCACACUGGGACUGAGACACGGCCCAGACUCCUACGGGAGGCAGCAGUAGGGAAUCUUCCGCAAUGGACGAAAGUCUGACGGAGCAACGCCGCGUGAGUGAUGAAGGUUUUCGGAUCGUAAAACUCUGUUGUUAGGGAAGAACAAGUACCGUUCGAAUAGGGCGGCACCUUGACGGUACCUAACCAGAAAGCCACGGCUAACUACGUGCCAGCAGCCGCGGUAAUACGUAGGUGGCAAGCGUUGUCCGGAAUUAUUGGGCGUAAAGCGCGCGCAGGCGGUUUCUUAAGUCUGAUGUGAAAGCCCCCGGCUCAACCGGGGAGGGUCAUUGGAAACUGGGGAACUUGAGUGCAGAAGAGGAGAGUGGAAUUCCACGUGUAGCGGUGAAAUGCGUAGAGAUG